GUCUACGGCCAUACCACUCUGAACGCGCCCGAUCUCGUCUGAUCUCGGAAGCUAAGCAGGGUCGGGCCUGGUUAGUACUUGGAUGGGAGAGAAUCUCAGAAUAAUUUUCUUGGAUA
rnacentral:rRNA from 1 species